UACAGAGGGUGCAAGCGUUAAUCGGAAUUACUGGGCGUAAAGCGUGCGUAGGUAGUUUGUUAAGUCAGGCGUGAAAUCCUGGGGCUCAACCUCAGAAUUGCGCUUGAUACUGACAGACUCGAGUGUGGUAGAGGAUAGUGGAAUUCCCGGUGUAGCGGUGAAAUGCGUAGAUAUCGGGAGGAACAUCAGUGGCGAAGGCGGCUAUCUGGACCAACACUGACACUGAGGUACGAAAGCGUGGGUAGCAAACAGG
rnacentral:rRNA from 1 species